rnacentral:rRNA from 1 species
UACGUAGGGUGCAAGCGUUAAUCGGAAUUACUGGGCGUAAAGCGUGCGCAGGCGGUGAUGUAAGACAGAUGUGAAAUCCCCGGGCGUCAACCUGGGAACGUAGCAUUUGUUGACUGCAUCGCUGGAGUACGGCACGAGGGGAGUGGAAUUACCGCGUGUAGCAGUGGAAAUAGCGUAGAUAUGCGGAGGAACACCGAUGGCGAAGG